UAAGAUGAACGGGAGUGCAAACAUGAC
rnacentral:piRNA from 1 species